CUGAAAUGAUGCAAUUUUGUUCUUUUUUGUUAGUUUCUAAUAAAAAUAUCUAAAUAAAAAUUUGUUGUAUUUUUAUGGCAAGGGCCUGAAUAAUAUUUGGGGGCCAAAAAGUUUAAAUUUCAUCACUGCAAAAUUUUUCUAUAAAUUAUAUAAGGGCAAAAGAAUAAUGCAAUAAUGGAUUAAAAAGAAGAUAUUUUAGACAUGAUACACAUAAAGAAUCAAGAACAACAGCUUAGAAUAAAUUAUCCACAAAUUAUUACAGAAACAUAUCCUGAACUAAUUUAGCAUAUGGCAAAAUAUAAAUCUAAAUUUAAGAAAAAAUGUCCAAAAUUAAAAUGGAUUUUUAAACAUCAAAUAAAAAAUAGAAAAAAAGAAAAACUAAGUUUGAAUGAUAUAAUGAUAGUCAUAGAGGACAUUACAAUACCUAAUCAUGUUCAUGAUAUCCUCUUAUCUGGUUCAGUUUUUACUCAUAACAAAAAGGAGGCUAUCAUAGAUUUAGCCCUAGCAGCUGAUAUUAUAAUACAUGCCAUAGAAGAGCAUUAAAAAAGAAGUAAAAAUCAAAAUUAAAAAAUAAUAAAUCCAUAAAUUGUCAUGAAAGUCAAAUAUAAACAUAUGAGCUCUUAAAAUGGCAACAAACUGGAUAAUAGAUACCAAAAUUAUUUAUACAAAAGAAGAUAAAAUUAAAAAAUUAAUUAUGAAAACUAAAAAUAUUGUCAAUUAUUAAUCCAAUUUAUAAUAAUAUCAAGUACUCUUGAAUUAAUUAAAGAUCCAACAGAUCUAAAGUAAAAGAAUUAUGGUUAAUAAGAGUUUCUGGAAUCAAUGGAUUAUAAGAAUGAUAUCAGUCCAUUAUUCCAGUAUUUAUUUGCAUACAUGACAGCCAAAAAGAAACUGAUAAGCAUUUGUCCAAUGAUGAAUAAAAUGCCUUUGUCCUAUAUAAUUUAGAGAAAAAGUUGCAGCAUGGUGCAUCAUUAAUAUAAAAGGAUACUCACGUAUUGUUGGCUCAUUGGAACAAUUUAUAGAUAGUCUGUUAGAAGAUAUUUUUUGAACAAUAUUUAGGUGUAUUAGAUUUGAAAAGCUUUAUCUGAAUAAUUUACUGCCUCCAAUAUACCAACUGUUAUACUGAUUGAUCCUACAACAUCUGCUAUGUAACUUAGUGGAAUCUUCAGUUCUCUGUGAACUGUGUAAAUAUGUUAAUAUAUGAAUCUUUUUUUUUUCAUUGUUUGGUGAAGUAUUACAGAAAAAUGCAGGAUAUAUCAAUUGGAAACUCACUAGCAGGGAUAAUAGCAGAACUCAUAGUAAAAUGUAAAGAAAAACAAAUUAUUCCUGCCUUAAAGUCAGUAAGAUCAAGGAAAGGUGCCUAUUUCCUUGAUCUUACUGAUCAAGAAAAUCCUUGAUCUUACUGAUAUUUGAUAUAUUUGAUUAUUUCUCUGCUAAUAAAUUAGCAGAGAAAUAAUCAAAUAUAUGUACUUUAAUAAGAAUGUAAUGUUUUCAGUGUACACAUAUCCUCUUAAGCAUAUAUAGAUAUCAAACCAUUAUAAAUGCAAUUUAUUAUAAAAUAUAGAUACCAGGUAAAUAAAUAAAUAAUGUAUAAUAAUGUAAAAAUAAUGCAGGUAUUUUCUACUUAUAUAGAUUUGAUAUGAGUAGAUCCAUACUUAAGUAGGGUUAUUUUUAGCUAAUUUGCUAGACCUGGACCUCUCCAGAAAAAUUUGAUAUGUGGAACUCAGAAUUGAAUCCAGAUCAUUCAAAAUGAUAAAAGAUUGCUUUAUUGGGCAAUUUUUUGCUUAUUC
rnacentral:lncRNA from 1 species